rnacentral:rRNA from 1 species
GCCUUAUACUGCAAGUCGAACGAAGUAGCAAUACUUAGUGGCAGACGGGUGAGUAACAUGUGGGUAUCUUCCCUAUGGUGAGGAAUAACACGAGGAAACUUGUGCUAAUACCUCAUAAGUCUUUACGGAGAAAGCUUUAUGCGCCAUUGGAUGAGCCCGCACUUGAUUAGUUUGUUGGUAGGGUAACGGCCUACCAAGACUGUGAUCAAUAGCUGAUUUGAGAGGAUGAUCAGCCACAUUGGGACUGAGACACGGCCCAAACUCCUACGGGAGGCAGCAGUAAGGAAUCUUGCACAAUGGAGGAAACUCUGAUGCAGCGAUGCCGCGUGAGUGAAGAAGGCCUUUGGGUUGUAAAGCUCUUUCGUCGGGGAAGAAAAUGACUGUACCCGAAUAAGAAGGUCCGGCUAACUUCGUGCCAGCAGCCGCGGUAAUACGAAGGGACCUAGCGUAGUUCGGAAUUACUGGGCUUAAAGAGUUCGUAGGUGGUUAAAAAAGUUGGUGGUGAAAUCCCAGAGCUUAACUCUGGAACUGCCAUCAAAACUUUUUAGCUAGAGUAUGAUAGAGGAAAGCAGAAUUUCUAGUGUAGAGGUGAAAUUCGUAGAUAUUAGAAAGAAUACCAAUUGCGAAGGCAGCUUUCUGGAUCAUUACUGACACUGAGGAACGAAAGCAUGGGUAGCGAAGAGGAUUAGAUACCCUCGUAGUCCAUGCCGUAAGCGAUGCUCACUCGAUGUUAGCGAUAUACUGUUAGCGUCCAAGCUAAAGCGUUAAGUGAGCCACCUGGGGAGUACGCCGGCAACGGUGAAAC